rnacentral:rRNA from 1 species
GACGAACGCUGGCGGCGUGCUUAACACAUGCAAGUCGAACGGAAAGGCCUCUUUCGGGGGGUACUCGAGUGGCGAACGGGUGAGUAACACGUGAGUAACCUGCCCUUGACUUUGGGAUAACUUCAGGAAACUGGGGCUAAUACCGGAUAGGAGCUCCUGCUGCAUGGUGGGGGUUGGAAAGUUUCGGCGGUUGGGGAUGGACUCGCGGCUUAUCAGCUUGUUGGUGGGGUAGAGGCUUACCAAGGCUUUGACGGGUAGCCGGCCUGAGAGGGUGACCGGCCACAUUGGGACUGAGAUACGGCCCAGACUCCUACGGGAGGCAGCAGUGGGGAAUAUUGUACAAUGGGUGGAAGCCUGAUGCAGCAACGCCGUGUGCGGGAUGACGGCCUUCGGGUUGUAAACCGCUUUCGCUCAUGACGAAGCUUUGUGUGACGGUAGUGGGUAAAGAAGCACCGGCUAACUACGUG